UGCGUAGGCGGUCUGUUAAGUUGGAUGUGAAAACUCUGGGCUCAACCCAGAGCCUGCAUCCAAAACUGGCAGGCUAGAGUUCUGGAGGGGGUAGCGGAAUUCCUGGUGUAGCGGUGAAAUGCGUAGAUAUCAGGAGGAACACCGGUGGCGAAGGCGACUACCUGGACAGAAACUGACGCUGAGGCACGAAAGCUAGGGGAGCAAACA
rnacentral:rRNA from 1 species